UAGGAGCUCCGGCGGUGUCCGCGGGGAGCCGGGCCGCGGCGCCGAGUGGAAGCGGACGUGCGGCCCGGCGGAACGAGCGCGGAGCCGGGCCGGGGAACGCCGCGCCUGGUGCUGCAAGUGCUGAGGCUCGUUUCUGUUACCUGAGCUCAUGAAGAUGCAAACUCUUCUCAGGACAUGUCCUUACACUGUAGCAUGGGCUGCUUCUUAGGGAACAUAAGAAUCUGUGUUGCAGCCCAGUGAGAGGAAAAGAAAAGUAUUUCCACCUGUUAUAGAGAAGAAUAUCUGGCUUCCAAAUCAGUCCAUCAGGAAAGCGGACGUUCUUCACUCCAGGGUAUUCAGACACAUUCCACUGUAAGUAAUGAUCUGUCCAGUACUAAGACAUACAGACAGAAAGUAAGUUAGAUUAGCUUAUUCAUUGCCUUACUGUAGCUCUCCAGACAAUAUAGCCUGAAACAAUACAUGCUUUCGUGUUCAGGUUAUUAUUUAGAUUCAGACAAUGAAAAACUUGGAAAGGGUGAAUAGGCCACCAAGAGCUCACUCAAAAGCAUAAUUCACACUACAAUGCAUAUGUAACAGCCUAUAAAAGAAGAUUCGAGAUGCCUCUAUUUUAUUGUUCGUGCUGUUUCAGGUAGCAAGUUGGGACACAACAGGUUUUGUUUUAUAAUUCAUACUUAACUUCAGUUACAUUUUUUCUUCAGAGACAACUUUGUUUUCUGUGUUUGUGAAUUCUUACAUUGUAAUAACUUGAUUACAGAUGUGUGGUAGAGCAGCCAACAGACUGCUGAUAGGGAAAAGCAAUUGAAAUGGUUGAGCAGUUAAUACUAGCAGCUCCUGUAGCCUGAGGUUAGCCAACCUCUGAAGCAGUGCCCAGCAGCUGCUGCAGAAGCUCCCUUCCCACUGGCACUUCCUGCACUGCAGGCUACUGCCCUGGUGGCAGUGUGGCUUCAGUAUAGGCAUAGAUUCUGGUGUGGUCAAUCCAACAGGGUUUAGAUCUGGGUUUCUUGGCAUGUGCUUCCAUGUAUUUCUCAUUUUUUACUAACAGUUUUUAGCUCCUUGUCACCUCGACAAAUGACCAGCAUUGUGAAUUGCUUUUCUUCCUUUUGCUCUCCAAAUAGUGGUUUUUACAGAGAUCUUCAAUAUCUCUGCUCUUAGCUUUUUCUUUUCUAAUUACAAACUAUGAGUC